rnacentral:rRNA from 1 species
UACGGGGGGGGGCAAGCGUUUGUUCGGAAUUACUGGGCGUAAAGGGCUCGUAGGCGGCCAACUAAGUCCGACGUGAAAUCCCAAGGCUUAACCUUGGAACUGCGUCGGAUACUGGAUGGCUUGAAUUCGGGAGAGGGAUGCAGAAUUCCAGGUGUAGCGGUGAAAUGCGUAGAUAUCUGGAGGAAUACCGGUGGCGAAGGCGGCAUCCUGGACCGACAUUGACGCUGAGGCACGAAAGCUAGGGGAGCAAACAGG